GAUGAACGCUAGCGGCAGGCUUAACACAUGCAAGUCGAACGGCAGCACAAACUUCGGUUUGGUGGCGAGUGGCGAACGGGUGAGUAAUGCAUCGGAACGUGUCCUGAAGUGGGGGAUAACGCAUCGAAAGAUGCGCUAAUACCGCAUAAUCUCUGAGGAGAAAAGUGGGGGAUCGAAAGACCUCAUGCUUUUGGAGCGGCCGAUGUCUGAUUAGCUAGUUGGUGGGGUAAUGGCCUACCAAGGCGACGAUCAGUAGUUGGUCUGAGAGGAUGGCCAGCCACACUGGGACUGAGACACGGCCCAGACUCCUACGGGAGGCAGCAGUGGGGAAUUUUGGACAAUGGGCGCAAGCCUGAUCCAGCAAUGCCGCGUGAGUGAAGAAGGCCUCGGUU
rnacentral:rRNA from 1 species